GGAUUAGAAGUCAAAUGGUUCGACAUAGCUCUUUCAAUGCUACCUUAGCAGGUUCAAUUCCUGUCUAGUCUA
rfam:Triticum urartu cultivar G1812 contig16064, whole genome shotgun sequence.